AGAUUGAACGCUGGCGGCAUGCCUUACACAUGCAAGUCGAACGGCAGCGCGGGGGCAACCCUGGCGGCGAGUGGCGAACGGGUGAGUAAUAUAUCGGAACGUGCCCUGGAGUGGGGGAUAACGUAGCGAAAGUUACGCUAAUACCGCAUACGAUCUAAGGAUGAAAGUGGGGGAUCGCAAGACCUCAUGCUCCUGGAGCGGCCGAUAUCUGAUUAGCUAGUUGGUAGGGUAAAAGCCUACCAAGGCAUCGAUCAGUAGCUGGUCUGAGAGGACGACCAGCCACACUGGGACUGAGACACGGCCCAGACUCCUACGGGAGGCAGCAGUGGGGAAUUUUGGAACAAGUGGGGACAACCCUGACUCCAGCAAUCGCGCGUGAGUGAAGAAGGCCUUCGGUAGAAGUCUCUUUUGUACGAGGUAACGAACGUUACCUUUACUAA
rnacentral:rRNA from 1 species